UACAGAGGUCUCAAGCGUUGUUCGGAUUCAUUGGGCGUAAAGGGUGCGUAGGUGGCAUGGUAAGUCGGAUGUGAAAUCCCGGGGCUCAACCCCGGAACUGCAUUCGAUACUGCUGCGCUAGAGUACUGGAGAGGAGAUUGGAAUUUACGGUGUAGCAGUGAAAUGCGCAGAUAUCGGGAGGAACACCAAUGGCGAAGGCAGCUCGCUGGGACGGUACUGACGCUGAGACGGCGAAAAGCGUGGGGAGCAAACAGGG
rnacentral:rRNA from 1 species